rnacentral:rRNA from 1 species
CUCGUGUCGUGAGAUUGGUUUGGGUUAAGUCCCGCAACGAGCGCAACCUUGUCUUUAGUUGCCAUCAUUCAGUUGGGCACUCUAGCGAGACUGCCGGUAAUAAACCGGAGGAAGGUGGGAUGACGUCAAAUCAUCAUGCCCCUUAUGGCCUGGGCUACACACGUGCUACAAUAGUUGGUACAACGAGUUGCGAGUCGGUGACGGCGAGCUAAUCUCUUAAAGCCAAUCUCAGUUCGGAUUGUAGGCUGCAACUCGCCUACAUGAAGUCGGAAUCGCUAGUAAUCGCGGAUCAGCACGCCGCGGUGAAUACGUUCCCGGGCCUU